GAUGAACGCUGGCGGCGUGCCUAAUACAUGCAAGUCGAGCGAACAGAUGAGGAGCUUGCUCCUCUGACGUUAGCGGCGGACGGGUGAGUAACACGUGGAUAACCUACCUAUAAGACUGGGAUAACUUCGGGAAACCGGAGCUAAUACCGGAUAAUAUAUUUAACGGCAUGGUUCAAUAGUGAAAGACGGUUUUGCUGUCCCUUAUAGAGUGAUCCGCGGCGCAUUAGCUAGUUGGUAAGGUAACGGCUUAGCAAGGCAACGAUGCGUAGCCGACCUGAGAGGAUGAGCGGCCACCCUGGAACUGUGACACGGCACAGAGUCAUACGGGAGGCAGCAGUAGGGAAUCUUCCGCAAUGGGCGAAAGCCUGACGGAGCAACGCCGCGUGAGUGAUGAAGGUCUUCGGAUCGUAAAACUCUGUUAUUAGGGAAGAACAAUUGUGUAAGUAACUAUGCACGUCUUGACGGUACCUAAUCAGAAAGCCACGGCUAACUACGUG
rnacentral:rRNA from 1 species